rnacentral:rRNA from 1 species
CGCGAACUCUGGACCCUUACGGCCAGGGCUACACACGCUGCUACAAUGGGUCCGUACAAAGGGUUGCCAAGCCGCGAGGUGGAGCUAAUCCCAUAAAACCGAUCGUAGUCCGGAUCGCAGUCUGCAACUCGACUGCGUGAAGUCGGAAUCGCUAGUAAUCGUGAAUCAGAAUGUCACGGUGAAUACGUUCCCGGGCCUUGUACACACCGCCCGUCACACCAUGGGAGUGGGUUGCUCCAGAAGUAGCUAGUCUAACCGCAAGGGGGACGGUUACCACGGAGUGAUUCAUGACUGGGGUGAAGUCGUAACAAGGUAGCCGUAGGGGAACCUGCGGUUGGAUCACCUCCUAAA